AUACGUAGGGUGCGAGCGUUGUCCGGAAUUACUGGGCGUAAAGAGCUCGUAGGUGGUUUGUCGCGUCGUCUGUGAAAUUCCGGGGCUUAACUCCGGGCGUGCAGGCGAUACGGGCAUAACUUGAGUACUGUAGGGGAGACUGGAAUUCCUGGUGUAGCGGUGAAAUGCGCAGAUAUCAGGAGGAACACCGGGGGCGAAGGGGGGUCUCUGGGCAGUAACUGACGCGGAGGAGCGAAAGCAGGGGUAGCGAACAGGAUUAGAUACCCUGGUAGUCCAUGCCGUAAACGGUGGGCGCUAGGUGUAGGGGUCUUCCACGACUUCUGUGCCGUAGCUAACGCAUUAAGCGCCCCGCCUGGGGAGUACGGCCGCAAGGCUAAAACUCAAAUGAAUUGACGGGG
rnacentral:rRNA from 1 species